ensembl:snRNA U6 U6 spliceosomal RNA
GUGCUUGCUUUAGGACCACGUAUGCAACACUGGAGUGAUACAGAGAAGAUUAGCAUGGCCCCCGGGCAAGAUGAUAUGCACAUUUGUGAAGCAUUCCAUAUUUUA